UUGCAGAUACUCGUGAUAUCACAGUACCAAGUGAAGAAGCGGAACAGAAACCAAGUGGAAGUGGGUCCACAGGCCCUUUCAAAAGGAUUGAAGAUGAAGGAGUGAAGUCUAAACUGGAUUUUUUGAGGGCAAAAUUCAUCGCCAGUAAAAAGAAGAUGAUUGGUACCACCUUCUCCAAAGAGAGUGAGAAACCAGAGUGUUUAGAAAUUCGCUUCUUGGAUCAAAAUGAGAAAAGGAUCCAACGAUUGUUCAAUGGAGUGGAUGCUUCUAUGAUAUUGAGAGUUGAGAAAGAUUCUUCGAUGGACAAUUGGAUGCAGAGUGUGGAAAACAAGUUCAAGACAUCAU